ensembl:lncRNA MALAT1 metastasis associated lung adenocarcinoma transcript 1
GGUAGGCAUUGAGGCAGCCAGCGCAGGGGCUUCUGCUGAGGGGGCAGGCGGAGCUUGAGGAAACCGCAGAUAAGUUUUUUUCUCUUUGAAAGAUAGAGAUUAAUACAACUACUUAAAAAAUAUAGUCAAUAGGUUACUAAGAUAUUGCUUAGCGUUAAGUUUUUAACGUAAUUUUAAUAGCUUAAGAUUUUAAGAGAAAAUAUGAAGACUUAGAAGAGUAGCAUGAGGAAGGAAAAGAUAAAAGGUUUCUAAAACAUGACGGAGUGGUAGGAUGAAACAAUUUGGAGAAGAUAGAAGUUUGAAGUGGAAAACUGGAAGACAGAAGUACGGGAAGGCGAAGAAAAGAAUAGAG